CGCAUCUGUGCAUGCAGCAUAUCAAUAAGCGGAGGAAAAGAAACUAACAAGGAUUCCCUCAGUAACGGCGAGCUGAAGCGGGAAGAGCUCAAAUUUGAAAUCUUGAAAGGUCACCUUUCACGAAUUGUAGUUUAAAGAAGUGUUUUCUGUUACGAUCGUAAUAUAAGUUCUUUGGAAUAGGACAUCACAGAGGGUGAGAAUCCCGUCUAUGAUUGCGAUUUGUAGCUUUGUGAUACACUUUCAAAGAGUCGGGUUGUUUGGGAAUGCAGCCCAAAACGGGAGGUAAAUUUCAUUCUAAGGCUAAAUAUUGGCGAGAGACCGAUAGCGAACAAGUACCGUGAGGGAGAGAUGAAAAGAACUUUGAAAAGAGAGUUAAAUAGUACGUGAAAUUGUCAAAAGGGAAGCGUUUAACACCAGUGUUGUUUUCUGAAAAUCAACCUCUGUUAGCUUUAUGCAUGUUUGUUUAGACCUAAUCAGCUAUCUUGCAUGUUCUAUUGUUUGCAGUGGUGCACUUUUCAGUUUACAGGUCAACAUCAGUUUUUUUUACCGUAAAAAAGUUAAAGAAAGGUAGCUCAUGGCUCCGGUCGUGAGUGUUAUAGUCUUUUUCCUAUGCGGUAGGAGAGACUGAGGUCUGCAGUGUAGGCUAUUUGGCUAGAUACUCAGGUGCUAUGUGAUACCAUUUCAUAAACAACUUGUUGAUUAUGUUUUGUCUAUUGCAUACUCGCUUGUACUAUCAUACCUACGCUUAGGAUGUUGACGAUCAGCUGAGCGCG
rnacentral:rRNA from 1 species